GGGCAGCGCCAGCGCAGGGACGAUCCCCGCCACGGCGCACGCUUGGAAAGCGUGUUGGGGGCAACCCCUCACGAGUUCGAAUCUCGUAUCCUCCA
rnacentral:tRNA from 1 species